GAUGAACGCUGGCGGCGUGCCUAAUACAUGCAAGUCGAGCGAACGGACGAGAAGCUUGCUUUUCUGAUGUUAGCGGCGGACGGGUGAGUAGCACGUGGAUAACCUACCUAUAAGACUGGGAUAACUUCGGGAAACCGGAGCUAAUACCGGAUAAUAUUUUGAACCGCAUGGUUCAAAAGUGAAAGACGGUCUUGCUGUCACUUAUAGAUGGAUCCGCGCUGCAUUAGCUAGUUGGUAAGGUAACGGCUUACCAAGGCAACGAUGCAUGGCCGACCUGAGAGGGUGAUCGGCCACACUGGAACUGAGACACGGUCCAGACUCCUACGGGAGGCAGCAGUAGGGAAUCUUCCGCAAUGGGCGAAAGCCUGACGGAGCAACGCCGCGUGAGUGAUGAAGGUCUUCGGAUCGUAAAACUCUGUUAUUAGGGAAGAACAUAUGUGUAAGUAACUGUGCACAUCUUGACGGUACCUAAUCAGAAAGCCACGGCUAACUACGUG
rnacentral:rRNA from 1 species